UCAUAAAUGAAAAAUGUACAUAUACCUUUGUGAUGACAGUGAUAAGUGAUGAAGAUAAUUUCAUAAUAUAUCACAAUCUCAAAAUAAUUUUAUUUUUCCAAUCAUGGGAACUAUUAAAAUGUAGAAGAGUUUAGAAUAAUUUGUUGUGAUACUUAGAAAGAAGGAAAUGAAGAUCAUACAUUUUCUUCUUGAGAAAGAUGAAACUGAAGUCAAUAAAUAGGGUUCACUUGAGCAGCUGAGGGAAAGGAAAGGGUAGCUAUAGAUGCUUUUUGGAAAUAUUCACAUACUUAACUUUGCAGAGAAUAUAAAACAUAGAUUACAGAGUGUCUUAGUUACUUUUCUUGUUGCUAAGACAGAAUACCCAACACACAAAGUUAAAGGAGGAAAGGUUUAUUUGGCUCACAGUUUGUAGAGCUUUCAGUGCAUAAUUGACUGCCUCCAAGGCAGAAUGGCAUGGCAGGCAGGUACUGAAGAGGAGAAACAGUUCAUGAUUGGCAGAAGGUAGCAAAGUGAGCAAGAGGCUUCUUUCUACUCUUUCUAUACUCUCUCUAGGCCUAAUCUAGGCAUUAUGGUGGUGUCAAGCCAAUCAAUGGACUCAUGCUGUACUAAUUCCAGCUUCACGCUAGAUUUAGCCACCUCUGAAAAGCUCUAUGACCACAUGAGGCUCUGGGGGACAUCUAAACCCAACCCAUAAUGUUCUGCAGCUUGCCUCCCCAAAUACCAUGCAUACAUAUCCUUUUAUGAAAGAUAUUUAGUCCAUCUCCAAGAGUUGCCAAAGUCCUAACAGUUUCAUCAUUGGCAAAAAGUCCAACUCCAAAACUCCUCUGAGAUUUAAGGCAAACUCUUAGCUGUGAGCCCCUCCACAAGGGGAAAGAAAGUUAAACCCUUCUAACAUUCAAUGGCACAAGAUAGACAUUUCUAUUACAAAAGGUAUAAACAUAGGUUUUCAAAGGAAUAGGGCAAAAGCAAGUCCAAAAUCCAGCAGAGAAAACAUUAAGUCCCGUAGUUUCAGGUCCAGCGUCUGGGCAAUCUGUGGCAAAAUAUGAACUCCAAAGGGAUUGGGUGACUCCACCUCCAUGGCACUGCCAGGAAUUAUAGUUCCCAUAGCUUCUCUCUUGGGUUAGCCCUGUUCCUCCCUAAGUUUUCCUCAGAUGAUCCAUGUUCCAGGGUUCUCUAAACUUUCUCCACUGUACCUUUGCUUCACACUCACAGCUUCACACACUGCCCUUUCAGGGGCACACUGCCUGGCCUCCCAGGCUGUAUUCUGAAAUCUGGGUAUAGCCCUUUCUGACCUCAUAACUCUUACAUGUAUCAUGUACCUAAAACCAGUACCACGUGGAUGAUGCCAAGGUCUGCUGCCAGCUGGAGCAGUAGCCAGGCUUCCUUCUCUCUUGGCUCUAGGGAUAGAGUGCUUAUGAACCAAAUCCUGAGCAAAAACUUCUUAGGCUGCCAUCAUUCUGGAGCAUGGUGCUCUGGGGCUCUUUUCUGAAAAUGAAAUCUUUCACUUUUGCAACUCUGAGGCUGCAAAGGCUGGAAUCCUGCUGCAACUUGUGAUGUGCUCAGGGUAUCUUUUCUGUUUUCUUCUGAAAUACUUGGCUUUUUCUUGCUAGUUUUUUCAGCGACCAAUUUCUCCUCUGUUCCAUUUUUACUAGCUGUAACUUUACUGGAGGUUCAUUUCUGGACAAACUCAAAACAUUUUGAAUCAUUCUGCUGGGCUCUUGGCUCUCAACAUAAAUCUGGCUAAAUGUCCCCAACAGUAGCCAUGCCACCACCUCAACAUUAGAUUACCUUGAAAUUUCUUCUGGAAGAUUAAUGAGGCUAGCACUGUUAAUCUGCCUCAGGCAAAGUGCCUGGAUACAAGCAAACUCCAGACAAACUUUUUGCCAAGGUAUAACACACAUUGUUUGGAGUCCUACAGCCAAUGAAGUCCUUCUUCCCAGCAGAAAACUCCCAAGCUUGGUUUUUACCAUCAGGACUUCUAUCAGCCUUCUGAGCUCUGACAAGAAUCUCCCAUGAAGUACAUACUAAGAUAGUUCAGAUUUACUUUUUCAGCAUCUCUGCCCAUUUCCAAACUUUUCCCACAAGCCAGUCCCAAAGGCUCCUGAACCACAUGGUCAGGUAUAUUCACAGCAAUGACCCCACAUCUUUGGUACCAAAUUCUGUCUUAGUUACUUUUCUCAUUGCUGAGACAAAAUACUCAGCAUCCAAAGUUAAAUAAGGAAAAGUUUAUUUGGCCCACAGUUUGUAGAGGUUUCAGUGCACAAUCGGCUGGCUCCAAGGCAGAGUGGAAUGGCAGACAAGAAUAGAAGAGGAGAAACAGUUCAUGGUGGGCAAAAGGUAGCAAAGCAAGCAAGGGGCCUUAGCAACUUCUUUCUACCCCUUUUAUACUCUUUCUAGGGUACUGGGAUUAGGGUGGUACCAAACCAAUCAGUGGACUGAUUUAGUAAUCACACACCCUUUUUACCACCAUCACAUACUCUAGAUCCAGCCACGUCUGAAAAAACUCCACCUAUGACUGCAUAAGGCUUUGGUGAGACAUCUAAACACAAGCCACAACACAAGGACAGUGCUGAUUUUGGUGAUAAUUAUUCCCAAGGACUGAAUACUCUACCCACUAUUCUAUGAAUUAUGAGGUUUUUUUUCUACCUGACUGAUGGAAGCAGAUCUGGCACCAUGCAGCUUCCAACUCUUCUCCAAAGUCACAAUGACCAAGAAAAGUAAAAGUUUUUAAUCAAUUCCUGCCAUAGAGGCAACCAUAACAACACAACUAAAGACAUUCAUAAGAGAGGAUUUCCAGAAUUGCUACCAGACUGAAUGUGCUUUUCAGUGUUAUUGUCAGUUUCCUCACUGCUCGAAUUGAAUACUUCACACUGGCACUGUAAAGGAGAAAAAGUUUAUUUUGACUCGUAGAUUCAGAAGUUUCAAUCUUAUAUCUUCCUGUUGGGCAUCUAGAGCAUCGUAAUAAAGGUGAGAAUGCCAGAGCACAGGGCAGCCUCACCUCUAUGGCUUUGUUACUUGCACUUCAGAUGGCUUCCUUCUUGGGCUGGUUCCUCUGUGUUUGCUCUUGUAGCCUUUGCUUUGUAGAAAUUCUGUCAAAUUUCUAGCAUGUCCAACUUUAUGAUAUGUCCAUUGCAACUUAUGUUUCAUGGUCACAGCUUCAUGCAUUGCAUUCUCAGCGCCUUCUGGCAGUGACUUAUACUUCGUUAUACAUUGUUCCCUGGCUGCUCAGGCCCUCUUAUCAAACCUAUAUGGUUGCUUCUAUGACUUCAAAAUUCUUGGAUUCUGCAUGCCCGAAAAACCACCUUUACAUGGUCUAUGCCAAUGUCUCCCAGUCAAAGAAAGUGUAACCAGGCCUCCUUAGAGAACCCUGAUUGCCAUUGGCCUCUGACUGGAUGGAUGAACAGAGGGAAGCAUUUUACUCAGUGGUUCUGAGUGGAGUACUUCGGGAUUCUUUGCUCAAAGUAAAGUUUUUCAAUAAGUAGUUACACUUUUAUGCCCUUGAGCCUGCCAUGUAUGGCAUCUUCUGAUUCCUGAAAGGUCCUUAAGGCAUCUUUCAUUUUAUCCUGGUCAAGUCAAAAUGCAUGGCUUCUUUCUAAUGACACUGUUAUCUUCAGUAACCACACUUUCUUUGGCCCCGACUUUUCAUGUGCUUCUUUUUUGUCAAAACUUCAAGUUUUUCAAAUCUUUCUGCUUUUCUGCAUGCUCCCAAUUCUCACCACUACAAAUCUGGCUGAAAGCAAAAAGUUGUACCUAUGCCAAAUCUUGAACAUUGGAACGUUUUGACAUUGCUCCCAUCAAAUCAAUUAGUCCAUGACUCAAACUCUGCCUCACACAAAGGUUUCAGGUAUAGAAAAACUGUAUCUUUCACAAUGUAAUGUAGAUGUAAGGGUCUUAUGUCCAAUUCCCAGUAAAAUUAUCAUUUCCAUCGGAGCCCUCAUGUGCUUGGUCUUCAUUUCUGCUUUCCUCUGAGCACUUUGGCCUCCUGAGAUUUUACCAGAAUUAUCCUGGAUUUCUCCACUAUGCAUCUUCAAAUAUUUUCAAAACUUUUUCCAAAAAUUAUUUCUAAAGGGUUCUAAUCUAUAUAGUCAGGUAUAGGCACAAUGACAAACCCACUUCUCAGUACCAGUUUUCUGUGUUUGUCAAUUGUCUCAUUGCUGGAACAAAAUCUCUGACACACACUACUAAAAGGAGAAGUUUAGUUUGACUCAUGUUUACAGAGGUUUCAGUCCAUGAUCAGUUGGUCCCAAGGCAGAAUAUUUAUGGAGAAAGGGAGUGGUAGAGGAAAGCUGCUCAGCUCAUUGCAUAUGAGAAGUGAAAUACAGGGAAAGAGCUUGAGAAGGGGAACGGUCCAGGCACCAGAUGUAGUAAGCAGGGUCAGGCCUCCAGAACCCAGCCAGAUACACCUAGAAGUGUGGAUUAAUAAUCACCAAGGCAUAGUUCAAGCUAAACAAGUUCAGAGUAAAGUUUUACUCUCACAUUUAUUCUAUGCAUAGAUAUUUGUGAGUUUUCUCAGUCUCUUAUCAUGCUUGAUUUCUAAUUUCAUACUAUUAUAGUUAGUAUCAAAACCUGGUAUGUUUUUAAUCAUCUUAAACAUGUUAAAACUUGUUAUUAUCUAUCUUGGAGGAUAUCCAGACUUCACUGAAGAGGAAAAUAUAGUCUUCUGAUUUUGUACAUUAUCAUUAGCUACAUUUCAAUUUCAUUGUUGUUCAAGUUUACUGUUUGAUUAUUGAUGUCCUCUGUUAGUGCUCUAUUCAUUAUUGAAAGAGUGAUAUUAAAAUUGCCUACUAUUAUUUAUUGCUGUCAAUUAUUCUUUUGGAAAUAUCAAUUUGCCUUAUACAUUUAGGUAGACUCAUGUCAAUACAUAUAUGUUUGCAAUUGUUAUAUUUUCUUGAUCACUUAUCCUUCUAUUAUUUCCUUCUGUUUUGUUUUGCUUUGGUACUGGGGAUCAAACUCACCCUUGUGUUUUUGAGGCAGGCACAGUGCCACUGAGCUAAAUCCCCAGCCCCCAAUCCUUCAAUUAUUAAAUGGUGACUUUCAUUAAAGUUUUUGACUUAGAAUAUAUUUUAUCUAUAUAAGAAUAAAC
ensembl:lncRNA